rnacentral:rRNA from 1 species
AGCGGAGGGACAUUACCGAGUUUACAACUCCCAAACCCAAUGUGAACCAUACCAAACUGUUGCCUCGGCGGGGUCACGCCCCGGGUGCGUCGCAGCCCCGGAACCAGGCGCCCGCCGGAGGGACCAACCAAACUCUUUCUGUAGUCCCCUCGCGGACGUUAUUUCUUACAGCUCUGAGCAAAAAUUCAAAAUGAAUCAAAACUUUCAACAACGGAUCUCUUGGUUCUGGCAUCGAUGAAGAACGCAGCGAAAUGCGAUAAGUAAUGUGAAUUGCAGAAUUCAGUGAAUCAUCGAAUCUUUGAACGCACAUUGCGCCCGCCAGUAUUCUGGCGGGCAUGCCUGUCCGAGCGUCAUUUCAACCCUCGAACCCCUCCGGGGGGUCGGCGUUGGGGAUCGGGAACCCCUAAGACGGGAUCCCGGCCCCGAAAUACAGUGGCGGUCUCGCCGCAGCCUCUCCUGCGCAGUAGUUUGCACAACUCGCACCGGGAGCGCGGCGCGUCCACGUCCGUAAAACACCCAACUUCUGAAAUGUUGACCUCGGAUCAGGUAGGAAUACCCGCUGAACUUAAGCAUAU